rnacentral:rRNA from 1 species
GACGAACGCUGGCGGCGUGCCUAAUACAUGCAAGUCGAGCGCAGGAAACUGACGGAACUCUUCGGAGGGAAGGCAGUGGAAUGAGCGGCGGACGGGUGAGUAACACGUAAGGAACCUGCCUCAAGGAUUGGGAUAACUCCGAGAAAUCGGAGCUAAUACCGGAUAGUUCAACGGACCGCAUGGUCCGCUGAUGAAAGGCGCUCCGGCGUCACCUUGAGAUGGCCUUGCGGUGCAUUAGCUAGUUGGUGGGGUAACGGCCCACCAAGGCGACGAGGCAUAGACGACCGGGGAGGGUGAUAGGCCACACUGGGACUGAGACACGGCCCAGACUCCUACGGGAGGCAGCAGUAGGGAAUCUUCCACAAUGGACGAAAGUCUGAUGGAGCAACGCCGCGUGAGUGAUGAAGGUUUUCGGAUCGUAAAACUCUGUUGUAAGGGAAGAACACGUACGAGAGGAAAUGCUCGUACCUUGACGGUACCUUACGAGAAAGCCACGGCUAACUACGUGCCAGCAGCCGCCGUAA